AUUGAACGCUGGCGGCAUGCCUUACACAUGCAAGUCGAACGGCAGCACGGGAGCUUGCUCCUGGUGGCGUGUGGCGAACGGGUGAGUAAUAUAUCGGAACGUGCCCAGUAGUGGGGGAUAGCCCGGCGAAAGCCGGAUUAAUACCGCAUACGAUCUACGGAUGAAAGCGGGGGAUCGCAAGACCUCGCGCUAUUGGAGCGGCCGAUAUCUGAUUAGCUAGUUGGUGAGGUAAAGGCUCACCAAGGCGACGAUCAGUAGCUGGUCUGAGAGGACGACCAGCCACACUGGAACUGAGACACGGUCCAGACUCCUACGGGAGGCAGCGGUGGGGAAUUUUGGACAAUGGGGGAAACCCUGAUCCAGCAAUGCCGCGUGAGUGAAGAAGGCCUUCGGGUUGUAAAGCUCUUUUGUCAGGGAAGAAACGGUUCUGGCUAAUAUCCAGAGCUAAUGACGGUACCUGAAGAAUAAGCACCGGCUAACUACGUGCCAGCCGCCGCUGUAA
rnacentral:rRNA from 1 species